rnacentral:rRNA from 1 species
UAGGGAAUCUUCGGCAAUGGACGAAAGUCUGACCGAGCAACGCCGCGUGAGUGAAGAAGGUUUUCGGAUCGUAAAACUCUGUUGUUAGAGAAGAACAAGGACGUUAGUAACUGAACGUCCCCUGACGGUAUCUAACCAGAAAGCCACGGCUAACUACGUGCCAGCAGCCGCGGUAAUACGUAGGUGGCAAGCGUUGUCCGGAUUUAUUGGGCGUAAAGCGAGCGCAGGCGGUUUCUUAAGUCUGAUGUGAAAGCCCCCGGCUCAACCGGGGAGGGUCAUUGGAAACUGGUAGCCUUGAGUGCAGAAGAGGAGAGUGGAAUUCCAUGUGUAGCGGUGAAAUGCGUAGAUAUAUGGAGGAACACCAGUGGCGAAGGCGGCUCUCUGGUCUGUAACUGACGCUGAGGCUCGAAAGCGUGGGGAGCAAACAGG